UUUGUGAUGGACUCUGAAAAU
rnacentral:piRNA from 1 species